GCUAUCCUAAUUGUGGAGCUGAAAUUGGGCCGCAUGUGGUCCAGAAGAAGCAUCCAUUCCAUCACUCAAGACUCGCACAGGGAAUUUGAAAAUUGAUUUAAAACAAACAAAAGAAAAAUACACACAAAAUAAACAUGUCUAUCUCUUCUAUAUUUGGCUCUCCAAUGCUCUUCUUACCCAAAUUAACACCUAAUAAGCCGCCCAAUUCUCAGAUUCAGCCGCCCCAAAUCGGCACUGGUUAUGGUGGUGGCGGUGGGCUGCUCAUAGAGUGCUCUUCAAGGCCUUAGAAGAAGCAACAACUCAUCAAGACAAGGCCAAGAAAGAGUCAGCUAUGGGACGUAAGGCGCAAACUCACUGUUUAUCAUCCUUUAUCUCCUCUUCCUCCUGAUUAGACCCUCCUUUUCUCCGAUGACGCUGAUGGUAACGGUGGUUCUGCUACUGAGGCUGCUUUGCCUUCUGCUUCUUCCUUCCAGGCAUCAAUUUCCAGAAUUUGAUGGUUUCAGUUCCCUGUUUCCCUUCCACAGCAUGCACUGACAGAAUUGGUUCCUCAACAUUUUCCAAUUCCUGCAACUCCUCCAACAUAUUCAAGUCAUCCUCUUCAUUUUCUACUUCUAAUUUGCCCAGUCUGCAAAGCCAUCAUAGUCUUGUUGUUUACAGUCUCCCCACGUUUGUAACAAGGUCUUGGAUUGGUUCUAGCGGUUGAAUUAGGUGGAUUGGAAGUUCUGUUUACUGAAGAAUUAGUUGUUGCAGCAGAAGCAAUACUACUGCCAGUAGUUGUUUUGCUCA